AUCCUGGCUCAGGACGAACGCUUGCGGCGUGGUUAAGACAUGCAAGUCGAACGAGAAGCUCCCUUCGGGGAGUGGAGAGUGGCGCACGGGUGAGUAACACGUGAGCAACCUGCCGGGAAGCCCGGGAUACCCUCCGAAAGGAGGAUAAUACCGGAUGUGGCCACCCUGCGAUUGCGGGGGAAGCUAAAGGAUUUAUUCACUUCCCGAGGGGCUCGCGGCCCAUCAGCUUGUUGGUGAGGGUAACGGCCCACCAAGGCGACAACGGGUAGCUGGUCUGAGAGGAUGGUCAGCCACACUGGAACUGAGACACGGUCCAGACACCUACGGGUGGCAGCAGUCGAGAAUCAUUCGCAAUGGGGGAAACCCUGACGAUGCGACGCCGCGUGGAGGAUGAAGGCCUUAGGGUUGUAAACUCCUGUCAAGAGGGAAUAAGCAAGUGAAGGUACCUCUAGAGGAAGGGGCGGCUAAUUCCGUGCCAGCAGCCGCGGUAACACGGAAGCCCCGAGCGUUGUUCGGAUUCAUUGGGCGUAAAGGGUGCGUAGGCGGCGCGGAAAGUCCGGCGUGAAAGGCAGGGGCUCAACCUCUGGACUGCGUUGGAUACUUCCGUGCUUGAGGACUGGAGGGGAGACUGGAAUUCACGGUGUAGCAGUGAAAUGCGUAGAUAUCGUGAGGAAGACCGGUGGCGAAGGCGAGUCUCUGGACAGAUCCUGACGCUGAGGCACGAAGGCUGGGGGAGCGAACAGGAUUAGAUACCCUGGUAGUCCCAGCAGUAAACGAUGUGAGCUUGAUGUGGGGGGAUUCGACCCCUUCCGUGUCGAAGCUAACGCGAUAAGCUCACCGNCUGAGGAGUACGGCCGCAAGGCUAAAACUCAAAGAAAUUGACGGGGACCCGCACAAGCGGUGGAGUAAUGUGGCUUAAUUCGAUGCAACGCGAAGAACCUUACCU
rnacentral:rRNA from 1 species